UACAGGGGGGGCAAGCGUUGUUCGGAAUUACUGGGCGUAAAGGGCUCGUAGGUGGCCAACUAAGUCAGACGUGAAAUCCCUCAGCUUAACCGGGGAACUGCGUCUGAUACUGGAUGGCUUGAGUUUGGGAGAGGGAUGCGGAAUUCCAGGUGUAGCGGUGAAAUGCGUAGAUAUCUGGAGGAACACCGGUGGCGAAGGCGGCAUCCUGGACCAACACUGACGCUGAGUGAGCGAAAGCCAGGGGAGCAAACGGG
rnacentral:rRNA from 1 species